UACGGGGGGGGGCAAGCGUUGUUCGGAAUUACUGGGCGUAAAGGGCUCGUAGGCGGCCAACUAAGUCAGACGUGAAAUCCCUCGGCUUAACCGGGGAACUGCAUCUGAUACUGGUUGGCUUGAGUGUGGGAGAGGGAUGUGGAAUUCCAGGUGUAGCGGUGAAAUGCGUAGAUAUCUGGAGGAACACCGGUGGCGAAGGCGGCAUCCUGGACCACGACUGACGCUGAGGAGCGAAAGCCAGGGGAGCAAACGGG
rnacentral:rRNA from 1 species